UUCCUAGACUUCACAAGUUUCUCCUUCAAGAAGCCCGCUAGGACUUUCAGCCAUUUCCAUAGCUGAAACACAUACGGUAUGAAGCCUAUGACCCUGGGUUCCUGUUCCUUUCAGGCUUCUCAGAGGCGGUCCAAAAUCCCUCUGGGCUAUGUCUCAUAUAAUAGUUCAAAAGCCUGGAAACCUGGACAAACUACUCCAGUAUGAUGGCCUCCACUACUUAUACUUCGGUUUGCUUCUAAGAGUCCAGAGAGUGCCAACACUAUUCUUUCAGGCCUUGUGCCACCACUCAUGGCCAGACACCAGAUGUGGAACUGAGACACAGUGACAUUAAUUGACUUGCCUAAGGUGCCAUAUGUCUGUGGCUGAGCUGGGAAAUACACCCUGAUCUCCUGAGUCCCAAUCCA